GAUGACCGCUGGCGGCGUGCCUAAUACAUGCAAGUCGAGCGAAUGGAUUAAGAGCUUGCUCUUAUGAAGUUAGCGGCGGACGGGUGAGUAACACGUGGGUAACCUGCCCAUAAGACUGGGAUAACUCCGGGAAACCGGGGCUAAUACCGGAUAACAUUUUGAACCGCAUGAUUCGAAAUUGAAAGGCGGCUUCGGCUGUCACUUAUGGAUGGACCCGCGUCGCAUUAGCUAGUUGGUGAGGUAACGGCUCACCAAGGCAACGAUGCGUAGCCGACCUGAGAGGGUGAUCGGCCACACUGGGACUGAGACGCGGCCCAGACUCCUACGGGAGGCAGCAGUAGGGAAUCUUCCGCAAUGGACGAAAGUCUGACGGAGCAACGCCGCGUGAGUGAUGAAGGCUUUCGGGUCGUAAAACUCUGUUGUUAGGGAAGAACAAGUGCUAGUUGAAUAAGCUGGCACCUUGACGGUACCUAACCAGAAAGCCACGGCUAACUACGUGCCAGCCGCCGCGGUAA
rnacentral:rRNA from 1 species